CGCGUAGGCGGCCUUCUAAGUCGAACGUGAAAUCCCUGGGCUCAACCCAGGAACUGCGUCCGAUACUGGAAGGCUUGAAUCCGGGAGAGGGAUGCGGAAUUCCAGGUGUAGCGGUGAAAUGCGUAGAUAUCUGGAGGAACACCGGUGGCGAAGGCGGCAUCCUGGACCGGUAUUGACGCUGAGGCGCGAAAGCCAGGGGAAGGCAAACG
rnacentral:rRNA from 1 species